GCCUGGGUGGCUCAGUCGGUUGAGCAUCUGACUUCUGCUCAGGUCAUGAUUUCAUGGUCGGUGGGUUCAAGCCCCACAUUGGGCU